rnacentral:rRNA from 1 species
UACGAAGGGUGCAAACGUUGCUCGGAAUUAUUGGGCGUAAAGCGCACGUAGGCGGCCCAGCAAGUCGGAAGUGAAAUCCCACGGCUCAACCAUGGAAGUGCUUUCGAAACUGCUGGGCUUGAGUACAAAAGAGGAUCGCGGAAUUCCCGGUGUAGAGGUGAAAUUCGUAGAUAUCGGGAGGAACACCGGUGGCGAAGGCGGCGACCUGGGUCGAGACUGACGCUGAGGCGCGAAAGCGUGGGGAGCAAACAGG